GGAAAGUUAUACAGGACGGUUUCCUGUCGCUGUUUGCUAAACAGUUGGAGCGUUAAUAGCGUUUGGAGUUCGACACUUCAACUUUCCGCCA
rnacentral:tRNA from 1 species